rnacentral:misc_RNA from 1 species
UUUUAUAACCAUCGGAUCGAUGUUCAAAUUCUGUUGAACUUAAGAUCCGAUGGUAUACUAAAGAGUACCUCCAUAUUUACCCCUAUAUUUCAACAACUUUACGUAUAUACCAAAAUAUCAAGUAUAGCUCGUAACAAUCUAUCCGUUGAACUUCUAGGCCGAUCAAAUCAAAUAAGGAAAAAAAACCCUAAUAUUUGAAAACUAACCCUACCACCUUUUUUACUCAUAUUUCAUCGUACUGCUAGUCGUUGUAAAUGGCUGAUAAGGUACAACGAAUGUCAUCAGAGCACGGGGUGAUGAUUUUCAGCAAGAGUACGUGUUGUUUAUGCUACGCGGUCACUAUACUAUUUCGAGAUCUUGGUGUUGAUCCAUAUGUGCAUGAACUUGAUCAUGAUUCUGAGGGAAAAGAUAUGGAAAAAGCUCUUGUGAGGAUGGGUUGUAAUGUCUCAGUUCCAGCAGUUUUUAUAGGGGGGAAAUUAGUUGGAUCAACAAAUGAAGUUAUGUCACUUCAUCUCAAAGGAUCCCUAAUUCAACUCCUCAAGCCAUAUCUACCUGAUUAAAAUAAAAUAAAUUGGAGAAUUGGAGAGUGAAAUUAUUCACCUUUAAAGGGAAAUAAGAAAAAGAAAG